AGGAAGCUGCAGUUACAGUGAUGUCAUUCUUGUCCCGUGUAGAACCUUCCCUCAGAUCCUGGCUCCCAUUAUCUUCAGCACUUCCAUCUCCAAUGUCAGCGUUUCUAUUCAGCUUGGAGACACACCACCUUUUGCUUUGGGGUUCAAUUCCAUCUCCCUGGAUUACCAGCACCUCCGACCACAAAGUAUCCAUCAGCGGGCUGUCCUGACUGUGGAUCACCUCUGCUGGCGGGUGGGCAGUGAGUCCCACAUUCAGCGGGCACCACACCCACCUAAUAUGCAUGUCUGGGGAGAAGCACUUGUCCUGGACUCUUUCACACUGCAGGGUAGCUAUAACCAGCCCCUGGGUUUGUCCAGCACCCAAUCCAAUACUCUCUUUCUUGACUGUACUAUUCGAGGACUUCAGGUAGAAAUAUCAGACAUCUGUGCCCAGUGUCUGUCUCGAAUCCUAUCCUUAGUGAUUCCACAGUCUGAAAAGUCAGCUGUCUCUAGGAAGUCUUUGCUUGGGGAGUCUGUGACCUUACUGUGGAAGGUGGACUUGAAGGUGGAAGACAUGAACCUGUUCACUCUUUCUGCACUGGUUGGUAAGUGGAGCAGGAAGUGGGUAGUAUGCCAAU